rnacentral:rRNA from 1 species
AGUAAUGGCAGGUCAGCAUACUGCCGUGAAUACGUUCCCGGGCCUUGUACACACCGCCCGUCAAACCAUGAGAGUUGGCAACACCCGAAGCCUGUAGCUUAACCGCAAGGACGGCGCAGUCGAAGGUGGGGUCGAUGAGUUAGGGUUAAGUCGUAACAAGGUAUC